rnacentral:lncRNA from 1 species
GACAUUAUUAAAGAUUGUAGAAUAAGGACUUACCCGAGGGCUAGGCCGGUUCAUAUAUCUCCAUCUCGACGUCAGAUCUCAGGGAUCAAAUGAUAAUAAACAAGAGCACAUUGACUCCAUAGCAAGGGGAAAUCUGCCGUGGGUGGCCAUCAAGAUCAUACAGUUCAAACAGGUUCACAAAUGGACAUGAAGUCUCCACCUUCCACCGAAAAUUAAGAUUUUUGCAUGGCCUUCCGUGACACAAUCUUGCGACGUGUAUGGGAAGAAGAUUUAUUUCCUCAAGGUGUAUGAGCUAUCAAAACUGAUGACACAGCAGAGAGAACAGACUCGAGGCAUGGCUAAAGCUAAAGCUCAUGAUGUCUUCAGGAGGUUGAACAACUCCCUGUGGUUAUUGCCUGUUUAAUAUGGAAAAUUGGAUCUAAAUCUAAAGUCAGAUCAUGUUAGAUCGGAUCCAUUGACAGGCUUAGGAAGGUCACUUCCGAAGGAUUGGCCACCAAAAGACAUGUGCCUCGGAGAAGGUUCUUGAACAG